rnacentral:rRNA from 1 species
ACGACGACUCUCGGCAACGGAUAUCUCGGCUCUCGCAUCGAURAARAACGUAGCGAAAUGCGAUACUUGGUGUGAAUUGCAGAAUCCCGUGAACCAUCGAGUCUUUGAACGCAAGUUGCGCCCGAAGCCAUAAGGCUGCGGGCACGUCUGCCUGGGCGUAACGC